rnacentral:misc_RNA from 1 species
CGCACCUUGCACCCUUUGGUAUUCCGAAGGGUAUGCCUGUUUGAGUGUCAUUAUAUUAUCAAAUCUCUUCAGCUUUGCGGCUGAAUGGGACUUGGAUGUGAAGGUUGCGGGCUUCAAUUAGAGGUCGGCUCCUUUCAAAUGCAUUAGCGAGACUAUUGUGAUCGUUCUUGGUGUGAUAAUUAUCUACGCCUUGAAGUUUGAACACAAAUUCAUUAGGAUCGCUUCUAAUCGUCUGUAAUGGACAAUACUUGACUAUUUGACCUCAAAUCAGGUAGGACUACCCGCUGAACUUAA